rnacentral:lncRNA from 1 species
UGGACAAAUGUGGAGUUGGACCCUUGAAAUAGUAUCAAAUCUUUAGAUUGUGAUGGUCAUUUGAGAUUUCAAUGUUUAUCAUUAUUUUAAGAAUCUGUCCCUUUUUUACAGGUAAUGUUCAAAAUUGUUGUACACGUGCUGCACAAAAUUAAUUGCAGAAAAUAUUCAUCUUCUAUCCAAAAGCUCCACUGGGAUUAAGGUUGAUGUCUUGACUAAUAAUCUGGAGUUUAUAACCAUAAACAUGCGACCCAACAUAAAUAAGACUGACAUCCAGGCAAGACACGAAGACCCAGCAUUUUUACAGUUAUACAACUUGUGACUGUGUCUGAGAAUUCUAUCCAUGAAACUGUCUACUACUUUCCGAAAGCUGAAGAAAGAAAAUACAAAGAACUGCUGGAAUGUAAUUUGAAGAGUUAUUGACUAGAAGACAUUAGGGUGAAAUACAAUAAACACUGGCUGUAUAAUGAGACCACCUGAGCUCAAUCCUGACUCCUUUAUUCUUUCUUUUAAAGAUUAUAUUUAUUUAUUUG